rnacentral:rRNA from 1 species
AACGAACGCUGGCGGCAUGCCUAACACAUGCAAGUCGAACGAGACCUUCGGGUCUAGUGGCGCACGGGUGCGUAACGCGUGGGAACCUGCCCUUAGGUUCGGAAAAACUCCCCGAAAGGGGUGCUAAUACCGGAUAAUGUCUUCGGACCAAAGAUUUAUCGCCUUUGGAUGGGCCCGCGUUGGAUUAGCUAGUUGGUAGGGUAAAAGCCUACCAAGGCGACGAUCCAUAGCUGGUCUGAGAGGAUGAUCAGCCACACUGGGACUGAGACACGGCCCAGACUCCUACGGGAGGAAGCAGUGGGGAAUAUUGGACAAUGGGCGAAAGCCUGAUCCAGCAAUGCCGCGUGAGUGAUGAAGGCCUUAGGGUUGUAAAGCUCUUUUACCCGGGAUGAUAAUGACAGUACCGGGAGAAUAAGCUCCGGCUAACUCCGUG